rnacentral:rRNA from 1 species
AUGCCGCUCAUAGAGUGCAACGACUGCACGCGGAAAGUGUUGCGGCUCACUUUGAGCACGCCAAAGCACCCCGGAUGGGUGUUCUUCAAAUGCGAAAACGACGGGGACGAUGGAUGCUCAUUUUGGUUUUGGGAAGGCCAAUAUAUUGAUUUGUUGAUAGAAAGAAACUUAAUAGAUGUUAGUGCACUCCUUAAUACAAUCGAAUGCAAUGAUGCGGCUGCAUGUGUAACUAGAGGGGAAGCAACGUCCACUUCUUUCGAACCAAAGAUGAAGAAAGAAGAAUGCAAAAUCAAGAAUCCACAGAUCAACAAUGAAUGCAUGGAGAAGAUAUUAGUCCAACUAGUGGGAGCAAUUAUGAAAGUUGGAAAUCUUCUAAAAUGCAUACUUAUGGUUCUUGUUUUCUUUGGUCUAGCUAUUCUAGCAAAGAUUUGGUGA